rnacentral:rRNA from 1 species
AAUGAACGUUGGCGGCGUGGAUUAGGCAUGCAAGUCGUGCGGAAAGGCUCCUUCGGGAGUACUCGAGCGGCGAAAGGGAGAGUAACGCGUGGAUAUCUACCCCCUGGUCUGGGAUAGCGGCGGGAAACUGCCGGUAAUACCAGAUAAAGUCUGCGGACCAAAGGUGUGAUUCCGCCGGGGGAUGAGUUCGCGUCCUAUUAGCUAGUUGGUGGGGUAAUGGCCUACCAAGGCAAAGAUGGGUACCGGGUGUGAGAGCAUGGCCCGGCUCACUGGGACUGAGACACUGCCCAGACACCUACGGGUGGCUGCAGUCGAGAAUCUUCGGCAAUGGGCGCAAGCCUGACCGAGCGACGCCGCGUGCGGGAUGAAGGCCUUCGGGUUGUAAACCGCUGUCAGAGGGGAGGAAAUGCAUGAGAGUUAUCUCUCCUGUUUGACCUAUCCUCAGAGGAAGUACGGGCUAAGUUCGUGCCAGCAGCCGCGGUAAGAC